GUGCUUGCUUCGACAGCACAUAUACUAAAAUUGGAACGAUACAGAGAUUAGCAUGGUCCAUGUGCACGGAUGACACACAAAUUCGUGAAGCGUUCUAUAUUUUU
ensembl:snRNA U6 U6 spliceosomal RNA